CCUACGGGAGGCAGCAGUGAGGAAUAUUGGUCAAUGGGCGCGAGUCUGAACCAGCCAAGUAGCGUGAAGGAUGACUGCCCUAUGGGUUGUAAACUUCUUUUAUAUGGGAAUAAAGUAGGGCACGCAUACCUUUUUGUAUGUACCUUAUGAAUAAGGAUCGGCUAACUCCGUGCCAGCAGCCGCGGUAAUACGGAGGAUCCGAGCGUUAUCAGGAUUUAUUGGGUUUAAAGGGAGCGUAGAUGGAUUGUUAAGUCAGUUGUGAAAGUUUGCGGCUCAACCGUAAAAUUGCAAUUGAUACUGGCAGUCUUGAGUACAGUAGAGGUAGGCGGAAUUCGUGGUGUAGCGGUGAAAUGCUUAGAUAUCACGAAGAACUCCGAUUGCGAAGGCAGCUCACUAAACUGCCACUGACAUUGAUGCUCGAAAGUGUGGGUAUCAAACAGGAUUAGAUACCCUAGUAGUC
rnacentral:rRNA from 1 species